rnacentral:rRNA from 1 species
GACGAACGCUGGCGGCGUGCUUAACACAUGCAAGUCGAACGGAAAGGCCGUGCGUUCGUGGUGUGCUCGAGUGGCGAACGGGUGAGUAACACGUGAAUAACCUGACCUUCACUUUGGGAUAACUUCAGGAAACUGGGGCUAAUCCCAGAUAGGAGCUCCUGCUGCAUUGUGAGCGUUGGAACGUUUGGGCUGUUGUGGCUGGACUCGCGGAUUAUCGGCUUGUUGGUGGGGGAGUCGCUGACCAAGGAUUUGACGGGUAGGCCGCCUGGGAGGGUGACCGGCCACAAUGGUACUAAGAGACGGCGCAGACUCGUACAGUAGGCAGCAGUGGGGAGUAUUGCACAAUGGGCGGAAGUCUGAUGAGACAACGCCGCGUGCGUAAUGACGUCCUUCGGGGUGAGAAACGCAUUCGCCUAUUACGCAGCUGUUGUGACGGUAAUGGAUAAAGAAGCACCGGCUAACUACGUG